CUGUUAUCUAGAUUUCCAAAGCAAUUAACUGAUGUCAUAACAAAAUAAUAGAUAAUAUAAAAAAAACCAAUUUAUUGUACAAUGUAUCACAGUCAGUAACAGCCAAAUAUAAAUCUAUUAUUAAGUUAAUAUAUUUGUUAUACAAAAAACAAAACAAAAACAUGAUACAAAAUAUUUUUUUUCAAGGCUAACAACAAUAUAUAACCAAACACUUUUAACAAACAAUAUAAAAAUAGUUUUGCUUAAAUAGCUUAUCACCAUACAGUCAGAACAGCAUCUCUCUCUCUCUCGUUCUCUCACCUUAAAAUCUGGUUGUUCUGGAUAUAACAUAAAACAUCUCACAAUAUUGCUUUAAUUUGAAUUAAAAAAAAAAAACAUCUGCUAGAAUUUAGUAGCUUGCUUUCUCUUUUCUAUCUUCUUCACUAAAUUUUAUACUAACAUUGAAAUAACAAGUUUUUCAUAUAUCACAUUUAAAUAUCACUACAUGAUUCUUUACAUGAAAUACCAAAUCUUCAAUCAAUAAUUAUGACACUGAUAGCUUGAAGCCUUGAACUACAGUUCAGUGAAGUAACUUUCUUCUCUGGCUUGCACCUAUAUGAUAAGAUAUGAUCCAAGUUGGAAGAAAUCAAAAUAUAAAUUGUUUUAUUCUACCCCGUAAUAUUUAAAGCUAACACAAACAUCUCUAAUAGAAUUAAAUAUCACUUAUAAAACAUCUAACAACAUAUGUAUCAAUUAACAGUUAUAGAAAACAUAUAUUUGAAAAUAUAUAUAAUAA
rnacentral:lncRNA from 1 species